rnacentral:rRNA from 1 species
GUCCACGCUGUAAACGAUGGAUGCUAGCCGUUGGCGAGCUUGCUCGUCAGUGGCGCAGCUAACGCUUUAAGCAUCCCGCCUGGGGAGUACGGUCGCAAGAUUAAAACUCAAAGGAAUUGACGGGGGCCCGCACAAGCGGUGGAGCAUGUGGUUCAAUUCGAAGCAACGCGAAGAACCUUACCAGCCCUUGACAUCCCGGUCGCGGAGAGCAGAGACGUUCUCCUUCAGUUCGGCUGGACCGGAGACAGGUGCUGCAUGGCUGUCGU